UGAUCCUGGCUCAGAACGUACGCUGGCGGCACGCCUAACACAUGCAAGUCGAACGAAGUAGCAAUACUUAGUGGCAGACGGGUGAGUAACAUGUAGGUAUCUGCCCUUUGGCCUGGAAUAACACGAGGAAACUCGUGCUAAUACCGGAUAAGUCUUUACGGAGAAAGCUUUAUGCACCAUUGGAUGAGCCUGCACUUGAUUAGUUUGUUGGUGGGGUAAUGGCCUACCAAGACUGUGAUCAAUAGCUGAUUUGAGAGGAUGACCAGCCACAUUGGGACUGAGACACGGCCCAAACUCCUACGGGAGGCAGCAGUGGGGAAUCUUGCACAAUGGAGGAAACUCUGAUGCAGCGAUGCCGCGUGAGUGAAGAAGGCCCUUGGGUUGUAAAGCUCUUUCGUCGGGGAAGAAAAUGACUGUACCCGAAUAAGAAGGUCCGGCUAACUUCGUGCCAGCAGCCGCGGCAAUACGAAGGGACCUAGCGUAGUUCGGAAUUACUGGGCUUAAAGAGUUCGUAGGUGGUUGAAAAAGUUAGUGGUGAAAUCCCAGAGCUUAACUCUGGAACUGCCAUUAAAACUUUUCAGCUAGAGUAUGAUAGAGGAAAGCAGAAUUUCUAGUGUAGAGGUGAAAUUCGUAGAUAUUAGAAAGAAUACCAAUUGCGAAGGCAGCUUUCUGGAUCAUUACUGACACUGAGGAACGAAAGCAUGGGUAGCGAAGAGGAGUAGAUACCCUCGUAGUCCAUGCCGUAAACGAUGUGUGUUAGACGUUGGAAAUUUAUUUUCAGUGUCGCAGGGAAACCGAUAAACACACCGCCUGGGGAGUACGACCGCAAGGUUAAAACUCAAAUGAAUUGACGGGGACCCGCACAAGUAGUGGAGCAUGUGGUUUAAUUCGAAGAUACGCGCAGAACCUUACCAACACUUGACAUGUUCGUCGCGACUCUAAGAGAUUAGAGUUUUCGGUUCGGCCGGACGAAACACAGGUGCUGCAUGGCUGUCGUCAGCUCGUGUCGUGAGAUGUUGGGUUAAGUCCCGCAACGAGCGCAACCCUCACUUUUAGUUGCCAUCAUUAAGUUGGGCACUCUGAAAGAACUGCCAGUGAUAAGCUGGAGGAAGGUGGGGAUGACGUCAAGUCCUCAUGGCCCUUACGUGUUGGGCUACACACGUGCUACAAUGGUAUCUACAACAGGAAGCGAAACUGCGAAGUUAAGCAAAUCCCUAAAAGAUACCUCAGUUCGGAUUGCACUCUGCAACUCGAGUGCAUGAAGCUGGAAUUACUAGUAAUCGUGGAUCUGCGUGCCACGGUGAAUGCGUUCCCGGGUCUUGUACACACCGCCCGUCACACCAUGGGAGUUGGUUCUACCUUAAGGCAAGGUUUCAAACCCUUGACCACGGUAUAGUCAGCGACUGGGGUGAAGUCGUAACAAGGUAACC
rnacentral:rRNA from 1 species